AUUUUGGGGUUUUAAUUUGGAUUUACGCGGCCGCGUCUUCGCUCUUACCCGCUAGACUUAAGCAUAUCAGUAAGCGGAGGAAAAGACACUAACAGGGAUUCCCCUAGUAACGGCGAGCGAAGCGGGAAGAGCUCAAAUUUAAAAUCUGGGAGGCUUGCCUCUCCGAAUUGUAGGUAAAAGAGGCAUUAUCUGGUCUCGGGCCGGUGCUCAAGUCCCUUGGAAUAGGGCGUCACAGAGGGUGAGAACCCCGUCUGGGCAUCGCAACGGGCCCUAUAUGAGGUGCUCUCUACGAGUCGAGUUGUUUGUGAAUGCAGAUCAAAAUGGGUGGUAAAUUUCAUCUACCGCUAAAUACUGGCUAGAGACCGAUAGCGAACAAGUUCCGUGAGGCAAAGAUGAAAAGCACCUUGAAAAGGGAGUUAAAUAGUGCGUGAAAUUGUUAAAAGGGAACCGAUUGAGACCAGUAUUGCUGCCGGCUUUGAGCGGUGCAUUGGUGCAAGCCUGUGUGCCGUGUAGCAGUCGGUGGCGAGUCAGCGUCAGUUUGGGCUUCUGGAGAGAGGUCAGGGGAAGAUGGGGUCGGCCUUCGGGUCAACCUUUUAUAGACUCUGGUUGGCACAGGAACCUGGACGGAGGUGAGCGGCCGUAGUACUCCCGAUUUGAGACCAGCCCCCAGGGCCAAGGACUGCACGCAGACCUUGGCUGCAAGCGACGGGAGGUAGGGUCGUGCAUACGGGCUAAGGAUGCUGACGAAAUGGUCUUAAACGACCCGUCUUGAAACACGG
rnacentral:rRNA from 1 species